GUUCAUAAUUGUAUAAUUUUGAGGUUAUAUCAGAAUAGGUUUACAUAGUUUAAUUUUCAACAAACACUACAUUUUGUAGUUGUACUGCACAUUGCUGCAGCUCCUCUUUUCACUCUGUGUGUUCAGGUCUCUGUUUUAGCUACAGACUGAGACAUCUCACUUCUUAACAAUCUUUGUUAGGUGUUGCACAUGCACAGUAGCUAGGUAAGGAUCACUAGCUGUUUCUCCAACUUCAGUCACUGCAAAGCAAGAUUAGCUGGAAGACUUCUUCUAAACGAGGGCACAAUUCCAACUUUGCGUGGAAUACCUGCAGGACAGGGACAUUUAAGUAGAUCUUUUGUAGAUGAUGGUGAACUCCUGUGUGUUGUAGCAGUGUUUUGCCAUUGAGAACGAAGGAGCAUGCUAGCGCUAGCG